rnacentral:rRNA from 1 species
GACGAACGCUGGCGGCGGGCCUAAUACAUGCAAGUCGAGCGAAGUUUUUCUGGUGCUUGCACCGGAAAAACUUAGCGGCGAACGGGUGAGUAACACGUAAAGAACCUGCCUCAUAGACUGGGACAACUAUUGGAAACGAUAGCUAAUACCGGAUAACAGCAUUAACUGCAUGGUUGAUGUUUAAAAGUUGGUUUUGCUAACACUAUGAGAUGGCUUUGCGGUGCACUAGCUAGUUGGUGGGGUAAAGGCCUACCAAGGCGACGAUGCAUAGCCGACCUGAGAGGGUGAUCGGCCACACUGGGACUGAGACACGGCCCAGACUCCUACGGGAGGCAGCAGUAGGGAAUCUUCCGCAAUGGGCGAAAGCCUGACGGAGCAACGCCGCGUGAGUGAAGAAGGAUUUCGGUUCGUAAAGCUCUGUUGUUAGGGAAGAAUGAUUGUGUAGUAACUAUACAC